AUACUUACCUGGUAGGGGAGAUACCAUGAUCAUGAAGGUGGUUUUCCCAGGGUGAGGCUUAUCCAUUGUGCUCCAGAUGUGCUGGCCCCUGCGAUUUCCUCAAAUGUGGGAAACUCGACAGCAUAAUUUGUGGUAAUGGGGGACUGCGUUCACGCUCUCCCCUG
ensembl:snRNA U1 U1 spliceosomal RNA